rnacentral:rRNA from 1 species
CUCAGGAAUGAACGCUGGCGGCGUGCCUAAUACAUGCAAGUCGAGCGAAUGGAUUAAGAGCUUGCUCUUAUGAAGUUAGCGGCGGACGGGUGAGUAACACGUGGGUAACCUGCCCAUAAGACUGGGAUAACUCCGGGAAACCGGGGCUAAUACCGGAUAACAUUUUGAACUGCAUGGUUCGAAAUUGAAAGGCGGCUUCGGCUGUCACUUAUGGAUGGACCCGCGUCGCAUUAGCUAGUUGGUGAGGUAACGGCUCACCAAGGCAACGAUGCGUAGCCGACCUGAGAGGGUGAUCGGCCACACUGGGACUGAGACACGGCCCAGACUCCUACGGGAGGCAGCAGUAGGGAAUCUUCCGCAAUGGACGAAAGUCUGACGGAGCAACGCCGCGUGAGUGAUGAAGGCUUUCGGGUCGUAAAACUCUGUUGUUAGGGAAGAACAAGUGCUAGUUGAAUAAGCUGGCACCUUGACGGUACCUAACCAGAAAGCCACGGCUAACUACGUGCCAGCAGCCGCGGUAAUACGUAGGUGGCAAGCGUUAUCCGGAAUUAUUGGGCGUAAAGCGCGCGCAGGUGGUUUCUUAAGUCUGAUGUGAAAGCCCACGGCUCAACCGUGGAGGGUCAUUGGAAACUGGGAGACUUGAGUGCAGAAGAGGAAAGUGGAAUUCCAUGUGUAGCGGUGAAAUGCGUAGAGAUAUGGAGGAACACCAGUGGCGAAGGCGACUUUCUGGUCUGUAACUGACACUAGGCGCAAAGCG